UUGCGCUAUCAGAUGAGCCUAGGUCGGAUUAGCUAGUUGGUGAGGUAAUGGCUCACCAAGGCUACGAUCCGUAACUGGUCUGAGAGGAUGAUCAGUCACACUGGAACUGAGACACGGUCCAGACUCCUACGGGAGGCAGCAGUGGGGAAUAUUGGACAAUGGGCGAAAGCCUGAUCCAGACAGGCCGCGUGUGUGAAGAAGGUCUUCGGAUGUAAAUCAAUUGAGUGGGAGGAAGGGCAUUACCUAAUACGUUAG
rnacentral:rRNA from 1 species